rnacentral:rRNA from 1 species
GAUGAACGCUGGCGGCGUGCCUAAUACAUGCAAGUCGAGCGAACAGACGAGGAGCUUGCUCCUCUGACGUUAGCGGCGGACGGGUGAGUAACACGUGGAUAACCUACCUAUAAGACUGGGAUAACUUCGGGAAACCGGAGCUAAUACCGGAUAAUAUAUUGAACCGCAUGGUUCAAUAGUGAAAGACGGUUUUGCUGUCACUUAUAGAUGGAUCCGCGCCGCAUUAGCUAGUUGGUAAGGUAACGGCUUACCAAGGCGACGAUGCGUAGCCGACCUGAGAGGGUGAUCGGCCACACUGGAACUGAGACACGGUCCAGACUCCUACGGGAGGCAGCAGUAGGGAAUCUUCCGCAAUGGGCGAAAGCUUGACGGAGCAACGCCGCGUGAGUGAUGAAGGUCUUCGGAUCGUAAAACUCUGUUAUUAGGGAAGAACAAAUGUGUAAGUAACUAUGCACGUCUGGACGGUACCUAAUCAGAAAGCCACGGCUAACUACGUG